rnacentral:rRNA from 1 species
CUACGGGCGGCAGCAGUGGGGAAUCUUGGACAAUGGGCGCAAGCCUGAUCCAGCCAUGCCGCGUGAGUGAAGAAGGCCUUAGGGUCGUAAAGCUCUUUCGCCAGAGAUGAUAAUGACAGUAUCUGGUAAAGAAACCCCGGCUAACUCCGUGCCAGCAGCCGCGGUAAUACGGAGGGGGUUAGCGUUGUUCGGAAUUACUGGGCGUAAAGCGCGCGUAGGCGGAUUAGUCAGUCAGAGGUGAAAUCCCAGGGCUCAACCCUGGAACUGCCUUUGAUACUGCUAGUCUUGAGUUCGAGAGAGGUGAGUGGAAUUCCGAGUGUAGAGGUGAAAUUCGUAGAUAUUCGGAGGAACACCAGUGGCGAAGGCGGCUCACUGGCUCGAUACUGACGCUGAGGUGCGAAAGUGUGGGGAGCAAACAGGAUUAGAUACCCUGGUAGUC